UGGGCGGGAGGGGGGGAGGAGGCGGCGGCGGCGGCUGGUGCAAGAUGUCGCUGCAGCCGAGGAAAGCAUGGGCAUCCCACAUGACCAACUCUCCCACGUUAAUUGUAAUGGUGGGACUGCCUGCUCGAGGCAAGACUUAUGUUUCCAAGAAACUCACACGCUACCUCAACUGGAUUGGUGUUCCCACCAAAGUUUUUAAUCUGGGUCAAUAUCGCCGUGAAGCUGUGAAGUCUUACAAGUCGUAUGAGUUUUUCCGCCAUGACAACGAAGAAGCCAUGAAAAUCAGAGAAGAUUGUGCUAAAGCAGCAUUGCAGGAUGUGAAAACCUACUUCACAGAUGAGCAUGGACAGAUCGCAGUUUUUGAUGCAACCAACACAACCCGGCAGAGGAGAAAUCUAAUCAUGAAUUUUGCCAGAGAUAAUACAUUUAAGGUGUUUUUCGUUGAAUCUGUCUGUGAUGAUCCAGAGGUCAUUGCUGCAAAUAUCAAGGAGGUAAAGGUUUCAAGCCCCGACUAUGCAGAGGUUGCACAAGACAAAAUAAUGGAUGACUUCCUCAAACGCAUUGAAUGUUACCAAGUUACCUAUGAACAAUUGGAUCCCGAUGAUUAUGACAAAGACCUGUCCUUCAUUAAGGUAAUAAAUGUUGGUCGACGAUUUCUUGUGAACAGAGUCCAGGAUUACAUUCAGAGUAAAAUAGUGUAUUACUUGAUGAACAUCCAUGUCCAUCCACGCACCAUCUACCUGAGCAGACACGGGGAGAGUGAAUACAACAGUUGUGGCAGGCUUGGCGGUGACUCGGGUUUAUCACCACGAGGGAAGCAGUAUGGGGAAGCCUUGCGAGAAUUUGUUGAAGAGCAGAAGAUUCCAGACCUGAAGGUUUGGACUAGUCAGCUCAAACGAACAAUCCAAACGGCAGAGGCUCUUGGUGUUCCGUACGAACAGUGGAAAAUCCUCAAUGAGAUCGAUGCAGGUGUUUGUGAAGAGUUGACUUACAGUGAAAUUCAUGACAAAUAUCCAGAUGAAUUUGCACUACGAGACCAGGACAAGUACCACUACCGAUACCCAGGAGGAGAGUCCUACCAAGAUUUGGUACAACGGGUGGAGCCUGUCAUCAUGGAGUUGGAGCGACAAGGGGACGUUCUUGUAAUUGCACACCAGGCUGUCAUGAGAUGCCUCGUCGCUUACUUUAUGGAUAAAGGAGCAGAUGAACUACCGUAUUUGAAGUGUCCUCUACACACAGUCAUGAAACUAACUCCUGUUGCUUAUGGUUGUAAAAUGGAAUCAAUUUAUCUUAAUGUUGAAGCAGUAAGCACACAUCGUGACCGUCCACUGUGUUUUAUGAAAUCCCUGCUUGACGGUAUCUUUCGGAGGAAGAUCAAGUAGAUCAAGUAGUGACCAAGUAGACCAUACAGCUUCAUACAAGUAGAAGUCACCUGCAUGCAAAGCUUGCUUCAACGGAUUGAAGUUGAAUCUUUCAACAGUAAGCUAAUGUUUCACUCAGUCGUACACGAGAGGAAGCGUUGAGCACUGUCCCUCAUCAUAAGUAACCGGAAUCUACUCAACAAACGUCUGCUGUUACAUCGUGUCAUUUUGGGUCCAGCUAAGCUGCCAAAUAAUGUUGCAAGGGACACGAUCCCCACCCACUCAUAUCAUCCGAGAAUUUUGGUUCAGGGCAACGUAUUUUGUAUCUCGUGGUGGGAAGGAAAGUAAUUUGAAGGUUGUUCCUGUGAUUGAGUUCAAUCAGAUGUUGUCUACACCUUGCCUGCCUGAAAGAGCAGGGUAGUCAUUUUCCCCUUGUGAGCCAGCAAUCCAGUUGAUGCUGCCCUUUGUACAGAUGAAACAUGGAAAGCCAUUGCCCUCAAGGGGCACAAAGUGCUGGAGUAGUUCGACGAGUCAGGCAGUAUCUCCAUGUGACCUCAUCCAUCCUUUUCCUCCAGAGAUGCUGUCUGACCCGCUGAGUUACUCCAGCACUUUGUGUCUUUCUUUGGUAUAAACCAGCAUCUGCAGUUCUUUGUUUCCACAUCUUCCCUGAUGAGUUGCCCCUUAAUUUAUAAACAGAGCUUGAAUUUGUUUGUCUUAUUUAUCAAGAAACACAUCCAUAACUGAUCACUAAAAUAAUUGUUAUUUUAUAGGCAGAGGAUGCGGUGUUAAUAUAUUUUGUAAUACCGAUCAUUGAUUUUGACAGUGGGCAAAGGUGUACUUGUGUGUACUUGUGUGUGGACUGGAAUAAGCUGGCCAUGUGUGGCUGAGUUACUAAGGGAGUGGGUGAGGGGAAACCUUGAGUAAGCAAGUCGUGCUGCGUGACUUUACACGCGCAGGCGUUAUUUAUUGCCCGUGUCACAUGGUUGUAGUUUUAUUACAAAAGUCAAAUACGCUUUCCCCUUGCUUUAAAAAAAAUAUAUAUAUAUGAUAUUUUUCAAACAAAACUAGAAUAAAACUCUCCUGAACUAACACUAAAAUGAGAACAAAAAAAAGAACUGAAAAAAUCCUUCAGCAAUAAUUUGUUUCAUCUUGAUUUGGUAAAGUGUUUUUUGCAUUAUUUUUCACUGUUAGAAUUUAAUGUAUUGUUAACCCUUAUUAUAUUUGAAGCUUUUAAGUUGUAUGGGAAACCAUAAGUUAGUUUGUUGCAGCAGAGAAUGAUUUUGUGUUUAUAUAUAUAUCAGGUAUUUUUGUAUGUCCUUUUAAAUCUCUCCAAGGACUAUGAUGACCUCUGUUCUCAUAGUUUUGUUACAGCCCCGCCAAAUGUAGCCCCACAGAUAAAUGAUACAGCUCUCCAUUGAAUGGAUGAGUAGUCAAGACAAUGUUCAAACAUGGGACACACUUGAACUAUAAUUUUGAACAAUUUACUGGAGCUUUUAGUUUAGUUUCAAAAAUGUUGCUUUCUCCUCUCUCAAAGUAACUGGCAGUGGAGGUGAGUUCACUGGAUGUUUUCAAGAGAGAGUUAGAUUUAACUCUUAGGGCUAACGGAAUCUAAGGAUAUGGGGAGAAAGCAGGAACGGGGAACUGAUUUAGGAUGAUUAGCCGUGAUCAUACUGAAUGGCGUUGUUGGCUCCAAGGGCCGAAUAGCCUACUCCUGCACCUAUUGUCUAUGUGCAUUUGCAAGGCAAUUUGUUUUAAAUGUGUAGAGAAUGGUGGGUGUCUGGAACAUACUGCCUGGAGAGGUGGUGGAAGUCAAUGUGAUACCCGCGGUGUGAACAGGCAGGGAAUGCAGGGAUACAGAUCAUGUGCAGAACGAUGGGAUGAGUUAGAAUGGCACCAUGGUCAAACAUAGUCAAGUUGGGCCGAAGGGCCUGUUCCUGCGCUGUGCUGUUGUGUGUUCUAAUUGGCCUUAAUCUUGUUUUGCUAUUGUUGCUUUCUAUUUUACAAUGACAAUCAUGUUCAAUGGUCUUUCUGCAGAAGUCACAGUGCGGGUGGUGCGUUGUCUGUUCCAUUCCAUUGUGUUUGGGUUUGUCCGUGGUGAUGAUGGUUUCCGUCUGUCAAUGCCAUGGAUGCCAGCGCGGUCACGGGUAAACCAUGCGGCAGCUUGUUCUCAACUUGCUUCCCGUGCAUUAAGGGAAAGUUGAAAAGCUGAAAAUGCUGAAUUAGAAACCAAUGAUUGCUCAUCACUAGAUUACUGCUGCCAACUCUCAAUGCAAACUGGAAGAUAGAUUCAAUACUGAUUCUUCUUCAUUUACUUCCCAGACUUGGGUGGAACAUUUAAAUUCUGAAAUUAAGUGGGAUUACUUUCCGAAUGUACUUGUGCCAAGGGUGAAGCUUUAAAUGACCAGCAGCCAGUGCUGGCUUUAGCAGUCCUGCAUCUCUUAGCUCAGCAGCAGUGCAGAGGAGCACUCCCUCCGUGGGUCAGUCCGAGAGUUACGCUCUUCUUGCACCCUGAUUGGGUUGAUCUUGCUCCGUGGAUGGGAAUUGUGGGAUGAUGUUGGGUCCGGUGUGUGAGGGAGUGAGUACCUGCAGUAUGCGGUGUCUGUUGCCAGGAGGCGCAUGCAAGCUCAAUACCUUGGACUUUGUCAGUGACUACCUCCUGCACAAUUACUGUAUUAAUCUCGAUCAGGUAACACAUUGAUUGGUAUUUUGCUGCUCUAGAACUAGUGUACGGGUAAGGGGCAGCAUGGUGGCGCAGCGGUAGAGUUGCUGCCUACAGCGGCAGAGACCUGGGUUCCAUUCUGAUUAUGGGUGCUACUUGUAUGGAGUUUGCAUGUUCUCCCUGUGACCGUGUGGGUUUUCUCCAGGUGCUCUGGUUUCCUCUCACAUCCCAAAGACAUGCAGGUUUGUAGGUUAACUGUAAAAUUGUCCCUAGUAUCUAGGGUAGAACGACUGUAUAGGUGAUCGAUGGUUGGCGUGGACUCGGACAAGGGGCAUAUUUCCACGCUGUAUCUCUGAAAUAAACUAAGCUUGAGUUGAUUUGUACACCUAACACUGCAGUGUGUUUCUAGUAAGUUUGAAUUUGGAUUGAAUUGAAUAUUUUAUUGUCACAGGUGACAAGUCACAGUGAAAGUCUUUGCUUGCCUACUCAAGGUAUGUAAAUAGUCGCCCAUGAAGGGCACUUACAAAUUUGCAUUGUUCACAAAUAUUAACUUUCCUUCUAGGCACUUUACAAACCUUCCUGACAACUGCUGAUAGUGAUGUUACCAACUUGGUUGUGCUGCUUUUAAAGUUUGUGGCUCUUUUUCUCUUUGGUACGAUUGUUGAAAUGAACAAUAUAUUGCCGUUCUGUGAGGGAAUAAAAACUAAAAUGACUUAAUUCAUGGCAAUCAGGGAUUAGUUUAGUGCAAUCUUCUUUGUUGCACCCAAAACUAAAUGAAAUGGGAAAGCAGUUCAUCAUGGUCAAACUGGCUUCAGGCUUUGGCUGACACUCUGAUGGCAUUGUGGUUAGGUGAACAGGCUAGCAGCCAGAGUUCCUGGACUCUCUUAGAGACAUAAGUUCAAAUCCCAGCAAGGGGCUGGUAUGAAAUCUGAAAUCUUGUAAGCAUCAGAGUCUCAGUAAGACACAAUGCUGGAGGAACUUAGCUGGCCAGCCAAUGGGAAUGAAUGGACAGGUGAUGUUGCAGGUUUUGUGGAGGGACUGGUCAGAUUUCUUCAGACUGAAACUCUGUCUGCCCAUUCCUUCCACAGAUGCUUCCUGACCUGCUGAGUUCCUCCAGCACUUUGUGCUUUGCUCAAGAUUCCAGCGUCUGCAGUUCCUUGUGUCUAACAUGAUGAGAGGUUUAUUUAUUCAUGCAAAGGAGGGGGUAUCUUUUGGGAUUCUCUACCCUGAAGCUCUGUGGGGACUUGAUCACUGAGUUUCAUGUGGUCAACAGGUUUCUUCUCUUCUUGAGAAUGAAACAUAAAUAAACCAAAGGAAUAGUUAGAUCUCAAGCCGGGUGUUGAGUAGCCAGGUUGUUGUCUCUGUUGGCGUCAAUGUCUGCCGGGCCCUGACACAGCUCCAUGUGGUGGGUGGGUAGAGCGGGCACCAAGAGGUGACAUGCUUGGCUGUCUGUUGUUCUGCUCCGCAUUCACAGGCUGAAACGCCCAACAGGUUUCUGGAUGUGAAGGAAAUAAAGGGAUUUGGCAGUGGACAGAGACUGUAGCUGAGGUAGAGGAUCAAGCAAGCUCAAUGAAUGCAGAGCUCUCCAAAGGACCAGAGUCCAUUCCCGUUCCCCAUUUUCAUGUUCUCAGAUUAAAAACGGUCUCAAUAAAAGUAACCAUGAAGUAAGCAUCUACAGAAACCUGUUUGGUUCACUAAUACCUUUAGACAAUGAGCGCACGGUGCCGCAGCGGGUAGAGCUGCUGCCUCACAGCGCCAGGGACCCGGGUUCCAUCCUGACUACGGGUGCUUGCCUGUACGGAGUUUGUACGUCCUCCCUGUGACCUGCAUGGAUUUUCUUCUUCAGUUUCCCCCCACACGACAAAGACGCACAGGCUUGUAGGUAAAUUGGCUUGGUGUAAAAUGUAAGAUCAUCCCUCGCAAAGGGUAGUGUAAUGUGCGGGGAUCGCUGGUUGGCACGGACUUGAUGGGCCGAAGGACCUGUUUCUCGUUGUAUCUCUAAACUAAACUAUCUAGUGUGUAGGAUAGUGCUAGUGUACGGGGUGAUCGCUGGUAGAUGUGGACUCGGUGGGUCGAAGGACCGGUUUCCAUGCUGUAUGUGUAAAAUCUAACAUCCCUUUUCAAGUCUACAAUAAAGUUACCGUCCCUUUCCUGGCAGGGCCAGUUUUAUUAACUUAUUGUACCUUACCAAACUAACCUGGGAAAACUGAAAUCCUGCUGGUUGUGAAUUUCUUGUCAUCCAGUGUGUAUGUGUGCGGCAAUCUCAGCUGCCUCGACCUGAGGGAAGGCAAUGUCCAAACGCACAACGUACUGACUUGAAAAGUCGUGUACAAAUUACUGCACAAUUUGUAAAUAUAAUAUUGUGACAAAUAUAAAUGUAACAGUGAAAUAUAUCUAGUUUCUAAUGGUUGAAGGAUUUUGUGUUGAAUAAUCCAGUCUGGUAAAGUGAAUUAAUUUCUAAGGGAAAUGUUCAAAUGAAGAAGAAAUGUUAGUUUUGCACAAACAUGUGGAAAAAUUAUUUAUGUACAAAAUCCCUUUAUUUUAAUGUAAUGAUUUGGUGAAGAAUUUAACUUAAUAUUUUUCUGGAAGAAUACGAAUCUGUGGGCUGUUGGUGAUUGACAGAUAUGAUUGUUCUUUAUAGUCUGUGAUUUGCUUGAUUUUUAUGUGUCUAAAUCACAAAGGGAAUAUGUUAAUCACCUGAAAAUAAAUAAAUUAUCUUCUGUGUGGAAGUAA